AUGCUCUCUUUGGCAGCACCUCUACUAAAACUGGAACCAUGCAGAGGUUAGCAUGGUCCCCGCAGAAGGAUGACAGCACCUUUGUGAAGCGUUUUAUGUCUGU
rnacentral:snRNA from 1 species